UUCUGCGAAAUUGACCCUUUUUUAGUUAAUCUUUUCAAUUUCUUACCAUUUACAAUAAUUUUCUCUUUUAGAACUCCUUUUGUUUCCGUUUUGCCACCACAAUCUGGAAGAGGGUUUAGUAAAUAGUAUGAUUGCGUUCUAGACCCAUUUGAAGACAAGUUACAAGUAAUGCUGAUCUCAUGUUAGACUUUCAUGUUCAAGAAGACUUCGACAUCACCACAAGGUUUUGGAGCAUCAUGUAGGGUUGAUUUUGAGAGAGAAGCUUGGAAAUUUGGUGUACCAGACACGAAUACGUAGGGACUGCAAUGGCAAUUGUGCAGCAGUCCUAGACUCCACCUCAUUAUGCAGAGUUGCAGUAGUUCUGCUUUGGUAAGGUUCAUCAGUGCUGGACUGUAGAGAUGAGCAGUUCCUUCACUGGCCGCGAGGGAGUGGAGGCUCAGUCUGAGCAAAAGGUUGCAAGAAGCACCGUAGGAAGAAAAGCGGAUUUUAAAAUGAGGUUUGGUUUCUUCAUAGGCUUGAUUGAGAAAAUUCUAUCUGGGAAUGUGUCAUCUCUGCCUUCUCGACUUAAGGCUUAGUGAAAAAGAAGUAGCAGUUGAGGACACAACACAAUGAGUCUCACUGCUGCUUAAGAAUUUUAAAUUUGGAAUUUCCCUUUUUGUAUUCUACAGCUAUAGAUGCACCUUUACACAAAUAUUGGGCAUAAACCAUAUAAGCCUCAGAAUUCUGACAAUAACUUAAGGAUAUGAAGUAGAACCACUGCAAGAAAUGGAUCUGAAGUGAAGUGGCUUCCGAUGGAGAAAUCCUGUUGAAAACAUGUGCCACAGUACACAGUUCCAACCACCACAACUGAAGGAAGAAGGUCGUUGCUGUCAAGGCUAGCUUCUAGAAGACUACCACGAGUGAGACUGAAACAAAAUUACCAGGAACCAAGACAUUCUAAGUGAAGAGGAAACUAAGGAGAAUAUUUUUUCAGUAUUUCCCGUGACUGUGAGAUGUCCUUUAGACUUGGAUGCGAGAUUGAUGAGGAGACACCUGAUAAGCUAGAAGUUUUUCAGAGCUAAGGUUGAAUCCUUAUUGGCCAGAGACAUGGAGACAUCUAUUAACAACACUACAAAGGAAGAGAGAUCAAUUUUCUCUACUGUUGAUACAUUGAUACACUAUACCCCUCUUCCUGUAGUUUUGCUGCCUUCCGGUCCGUUAACUGGCUAAAAGAAACCAAUUAUGCCAUCUUCUCAAGAUGAAUGCUCCAAUGUCCAAACCCUUACUUUAAUCCCUGUGGUGAACUGUUUAUGCUUUGUCUGAAAGACUUCUAAAGUAGAUUAAUAGAUCCCAAAGUAUAAUUUCAGCGGUGUUAGCUUGGCAUGGGCUCAAGAUGCAAGUUCAUUAUUUUACACUAUGUCAGAUGAAAGCAGUGGCCUAACAGUAUUUACAGAAAGUGAUUCCAAUUAUUGCGUGGAAAUAACAAGCACAAAAGAUGGCAAGUUCACAACUGUUAACUUGAACUUAAGGACUUCAUUGGAGGAAGGAAGUAGACAAAAUGAAAAGGCCAACUCUUUUUUGUGGGUUUGUGAGUGUGUCACCAUUUUGCUGAGAAAAAUUGGUGUGAGUGCUGCAUCAGAGGGAGAAUUGGGAUAUUUGAAUAAAGGUGCCCCUUGGAGCAGUUGCUACCAGUUUUAUGUACUUAUCAUUUACGUCUCUUUGUUUCUGGUUGGAUAAUGUUAUUCACCAAUCACAUGUACCUCAAGGU